CUCAGUACACCGCAGGACACUCAGAAACAUCAAGUCACUUAAAUGGUGAGGCAAGAGACCUUACAUGACAUCCUCGCUGAGGAGAGAUGCAGGUAGAACCAGAAGCAAGCAUGAUGAUCAUCUUUUCUUCAACAUUAUCCGAACAAGUUAUAAAGUUCCAAUUGUAUAAUAAUAAGAUCCACAGAGCCACCUUCAGCAAGUCCAUUCUACUUCCAGUACAAUUGUGCUUGCAACCUCUGUUUAAUUACUAACCUCUUAUUGCCUAGAGGGAUGGGCAGUCCUUUUAGCCAUGGAUCCCCAGAGGUUUCCCCCACAGGGGGUUUUCCUGUCCUGAGUGCUAGAGGAUGACUCUAAGUGAGUCCAGAGGGCGUUUUCUGUACUCUAGAGUCCUACUUAAUGUACUUGACCAGGCUUUUUGUAGAGAAUAUCAAAAGCCACAUUAUGCUAGGUGGUACCUUCAACUACAGAUAUUUUUCUAAUAAAUAAUAUAAUCUUAAAGUUCAAA